rnacentral:tRNA from 1 species
GGUGAGAUAGCUCAGACCGGUAGAGCAGAGGUCUCAUAAUCCUCAGGUCGUGGGUUCAAAUCCCAUUCUCACCACCA